GAUGAACGCUGGCGGUAUGCUUAACACAUGCAAGUCGAACGGACUCUUCGGAGUUAUUGGCGGACGGGUGAGUAACGCGUGAGAAUCUGGCUUUGGGUUCGGGACAACCACUGGAAACGGUUGCUAAUACCGGAUGUGCCGAGAGGUAAAAGAGAAAUUGCCUGAAGAUGAGCUCGCGUCUGAUUAGCUAGUUGGUGAGGUAAAGGCUCACCAAGGCAGCGAUCAGUAGCUGGUCUGAGAGGAUGACCAGCCACACUGGGACUGAGACACGGCCCAGACUCCUACGGGAGGCAGCAGUGGGGAAUUUUCCGCAAUGGGCGGAAGCCUGACGGAGCAAUACCGCGUGAGGGAAGAAGGCUCUUGGGUUGUAAACCUCUUUUCUUAGGGAAGAACAAAAUGACGGUACCUAAGGAAUCAGCAUCGGCUAACUCCGUG
rnacentral:rRNA from 1 species